GGCACACGCGAGGCGGCGGCGGCGGCCCCGGGGAGAACCCCGCCGGGGGGCAUCCCGCGGCCUCGGCGGCCUUUCUGACGCUCGCAUCUUUUUCUGAUUUACGCCGUUCGGUCGCUUUGCCGUAAACUCAGUGGGUCUCGCCGGGAGCCGGUUCACGCAGAGGUUGAGCAGAUGGCUCGCGUUCUGACAUGCCGCUGACCCGGGCCGAGGGGAAAACAGAGCCAGACGGCCCGCGGGCUUUGCGGGCAGAGGGGCAGCCGAGCACGGCGGCUGGGGAGCGGGGGGCACACCCAGCCCGCUGCGGGCCGACGUAACGGGGGGCACCGGUAACCGUGAGGCUCAGGUAACCGGGGGGCUCAGGCAAAUGACGUCACUGUAGGGCUGAGGUAACCGGGGGGCUCAGGCAAAUGACGUCACUGUAGGCCUGAGGUAACCGGGGGGCUCAGGCAAAUGACGUCACUGUAGGGCUGAAGUAACCGGGGGGGGGGGGUUCAGGUAAAUGACGUCACAGCGGGGCUGAGGUUACUGAGGGGCAGAGGUCACUGAGUGCGUUCCCGCCCGCUCCGCGAUCUCUCAGCGUGUGCGCGCCGCCGCCACGCGCCGCACGCACGC
rnacentral:lncRNA from 1 species